rnacentral:rRNA from 1 species
UGCAACUCGACUGCAUGAAGCUGGAAUCGCUAGUAAUCGCGGAUCAGCAUGCCGCGGUGAAUACGUUCCCGGGCCUUGUACACACCGCCCGUCACACCAUGGGAGUUUGUAACGCCCCAAAGUCGGUGGCCUAACCUUUAUGGAGGGAGCCGCCUAAGGCGGGGACAGAUGACUGGGGUGAAGUCGUAACAAGGUAUC